AGUCGAACGGUAACAGGAAGCAGCUUGCUGCUUCGCUGACGAGUGGCGGACGGGUGAGUAAUGUCUGGGAAACUGCCUGAUGGAGGGGGAUAACUACUGGAAACGGUAGCUAAUACCGCAUAACGUCGCAAGACCAAAGAGGGGGACCUUCGGGCCUCUUGCCAUCGGAUGUGCCCAGAUGGGAUUAGCUAGUAGGUGGGGUAACGGCUCACCUAGGCGACGAUCCCUAGCUGGUCUGAGAGGAUGACCAGCCACACUGGAACUGAGACACGGUCCAGACUCCUACGGGAGGCAGCAGUGGGGAAUAUUGCACAAUGGGCGCAAGCCUGAUGCAGCCAUGCCGCGUGUAUGAAGAAGGCCUUCGGGUUGUAAAGUACUUUCAGCGGGGAGGAAGGCGAUAAGGUUAAUAACCUUGUCGAUUGACGUUACCCGCAGAAGAAGCACCGGCUAACUCCGUGCCAGCAGCCGCGGUAAUACGGAGGGUGCAAGCGUUAAUCGGAAUUACUGGGCGUAAAGCGCACGCAGGCGGUCUGUCAAGUCGGAUGUGAAAUCCCCGGGCUCAACCUGGGAACUGCAUUCGAAACUGGCAGGCUAGAGUCUUGUAGAGGGGG
rnacentral:rRNA from 1 species